UCUCGAAAUUGUUAUCUUUGGAAAGAAAAAGAAACUACUCUUAGCAGGUGAAUAAAACAAAUUAAAGUGAAAAUACCUGUGAAUAAAGCUAAGAUAUUGCAUCAAAAUAUUCUUGAUAAUAGCUAUGCCCCAAAAUUGGUAUGAAAUCCAUACAGUCCUUUUUAACUGGCAACUUCUUGGAAAUAUAAUAAUCGUCAAAGCCUUGGCUACUUAGGCGUUUUAUGACAAUUUCCGGACACCAUCUUUCAUAGCUUGUUUUACGUGGGAGACAGUGAUCGUAUCGUUGAAAAUCGCUCUUUAUCCGAUCGAUGUAAAGGGAUGCCAUUCCAAAUGUGUUCAAUUUUCAUUACUAUACCGAGAAAGAUAUAAUAUAAACAGCUUUUUGUCUGGUUUUAAAAAUGA